UGGGGAAUUUUGGACAAUGGGCGAAAGCCUGAUCCAGCAAUGCCGCGUGUGUGAAGAAGGCCUUCGGGUUGUAAAGCACUUUUGUCCGGAAAGAAAUCCUUGGCUCUAAUACAGUCGGGGGAUGACGGUACCGGAAGAAUAAGCACCGGCUAACUACGUGCCAGCAGCCGCGGUAAUACGUAGGGUGCAAGCGUUAAUCGGAAUUACUGGGCGUAAAGCGUGCGCAGGCGGUUUGCUAAGACCGAUGUGAAAUCCCCGGGCUCAACCUGGGAACUGCAUUGGUGACUGGCAGGCUAGAGUAUGGCAGAGGGGGGUAGAAUUCCACGUGUAGCAGUGAAAUGCGUAGAGAUGUGGAGGAAUACCGAUGGCGAAGGCAGCCCCCUGGGCCAAUACUGACGCUCAUGCACGAAAGCAUGGGGAGCAAACAGGAUUAGAUACCCUGGUAGUCCACGCCCUAAACGAUGUCAACUAGUUGUUGGGGAUUCAUUUCCUUAGUAACGUAGCUAACGCGUGAAGUUGACCGCCUGGGGAGUACGGUCGCAAGAUUAAAACUUAAA
rnacentral:rRNA from 1 species